GACGAACGCUGGCGGCGUGCUUAACACAUGCAAGUCGUGCGGUAAGGCCCUGCUUUGGUGGGGUACACGAGCGGCGAACGGGUGAGUAACACGUGGGUGACCUGCCUUCAGCUUUGGGAUAAGCCUGGGAAACUGGGUCUAAUACCGGAUAUGACCUUGGGGUGCAUGCCUUGGGGUGGAAAGCCUGUGUUGUUUGGCAUGGGUGGCUGGGGAUGGGCCCGCGGUCUAUCAGCUUGNGGUGGGGUGAUGGCCUACCAAGGCGACGACGGGUAGCCGGCCUGAGAGGGCGUUCGGCCACACUGGGACUGAGACACGGGCCCAGACUCCUACGGGGAGGCAGCAGUGGGGGAAUAUUGCGCAAUGGGCGGAAGCCUGACGCAGCGACGCCGCGUGGGGGA
rnacentral:rRNA from 1 species